UACGUAGGGUGCAAGCGUUGUCCGGAAUUAUUGGGCGUAAAGAGCUCGUAGGCGGUCUGUCGCGUCUGCUGUGAAAACUCAGGGCUUAACCCUGAGCGUGCAGUGGGUACGGGCAGACUAGAGUGCGGUAGGGGAGACUGGAAUUCCUGGUGUAGCGGUGAAAUGCGCAGAUAUCAGGAGGAACACCGGUGGCGAAGGCGGGUCUCUGGGCCGAUACUGACGCUGAGGAGCGAAAGCGUGGGGAGCGAACAGG
rnacentral:rRNA from 1 species